rnacentral:rRNA from 1 species
CAGUAGCGCGGGAAUACAGAGGGUGCAAGCGUUAAUCGGAAUUACUGGGCGUAAAGCGCGCGUAGGUGGUUUGUUAAGUUGGAUGUGAAAGCCCCGGGCUCAACCUGGGAACUGCAUCCAAAACUGGCAAGCUAGAGUACGGUAGAGGGUGGUGGAAUUUCCUGUGUAGCGGUGAAAUGCGUAGAUAUAGGAAGGAACACCAGUGGCGAAGGCGACCACCUGGACUGAUACUGACACUGAGGUGCGAAAGCGUGGGGAGCAAACAGGAUUAGAUACCCGUGUAGUCCCUGUCUCUUAUACA